GCCGGUGAAAUCGGUAGGAGGCAAGGAUUAUCCGAGGUUUCCGGGGUUGAAGGGGAGGGUAGGGCGCACGGGCAAAGCUAGGUUGGAAUUAAGGGGGCCCCACCGCGGAGAAGCGAUGGAAAACUACCAGGGCUGGGAGGGCAGGAAGAGGCCGGGGGAAUUCCUUACUGUAGCCGGUGAAAUGCGUAGAUAUUUAGGGAGGACCCCCAGGGGCGAAGGCGGCCUGCUGGACGGUGACUGACGUGGGGGCUGGAAAGCGUGGGGGGCAAACAGCGAUAAGAUACCCUGGUAGUCCCCGCCCGUAAACGAUGAAUACUAGGUGUCGGGCGGGGCAAAGCCCGCCGGUGCCGCAGCAAACGCAGAAAGUAUUCCCACCUGGGGAGUACGUUCGCAAGAAUGAAACUCAAAGGAAUUGACGGGGACCCGCACAAGCGGUGGAGCAUAUGGUUUAAUUCGAAGCAACGCGAAGAACCUUACCAGGCCUUGACAUCCUGCUGACGGCAUAUGCAAUGUAUGUUCCCUCCGGGGCAGCAGAGACAGGUGGUGCAUGGUUGUCGUCAGCUCGUGUCGUGAGAUGUUGGGUUGAGUCCCGCAACGAGCGCAACCCCUGCCCCCAGUAGCCAGCGCGCAAGGGCGGGCACUCUGGGGGGACUGCCAGGGACAACCUGGAGGAAGGCGGGGAUGACGUCAAAUCAUCAUGCCCCUUAUGGCCUGGGCUACACACGUGCUACAAUGGCGCCCACAAAGGGAGGCGAAAUGGCGACAUGGAGCAAACCCCAGAAAAGGCGCCCCAGUUCGGAUUGCAGCCUGCAACUCGGCUGCAUGAAGCCGGAAUCGCUAGUAAUCGCGGAUCAGAAUGCCGCGGUGAAUACGUUCCCGGGUCUUGUACACACCGCCCGUCA
rnacentral:rRNA from 1 species